AGCGAACGCUGGCGGCAGGCCUAACACAUGCAAGUCGAGCGCCCAGCAAUGGGAGCGGCAGACGGGUGAGUAACGCGUGGGGAUCUACCCAUUGGUACGGAAUAACCCAGGGAAACUUGGACUAAUACCGUAUAAGCCCUUCGGGGGAAAGAUUUAUCGCCAAUGGAUGAACCCGCGUCUGAUUAGCUAGUUGGUGAGGUAAAGGCUCACCAAGGCGACGAUCAGUAGCUGGUCUGAGAGGAUGAUCAGCCACACUGGGACUGAGACACGGCCCAGACUCCUACGGGAGGCAGCAGUGGGGAAUAUUGGACAAUGGGCGCAAGCCUGAUCCAGCCAUGCCGCGUGAGUGAUGAAGGCCUUAGGGUUGUAAAGCUCUUUCGCCGGUGAAGA
rnacentral:rRNA from 1 species